GUGCUUUGUAAUACCUUAGACAGAUGUUGAUGAAAAAGAAAUGUUAUACUGCAAUUAAAUGUAGGAUUAACUAACUACAACUGUCAAAUUCAAGGAAAUAUUUUUUUCGACCUUUAACCGGAUGUGACGUACCAUGAUUUGGUUGUAUUGCACCUUCAUGGAAUUCUUACAAGUAUUUACUAUUAUUGGAAUAUGAAGUUCACAGUUUAAGCAUAAAGAGGGGUUCCUAAUGGGCAUUGUAUUUUCUUUAUUUACAGAUUUUUAACCUACAGUUGUUAAGGUUAGUAAAGUAACACUAUACAUUUUCUAAUGAAUAUGUGUUGGCCAUUGUACCUGAUGAAUACUAAUAAUGAUGGUGAUACCGUAUGAACCCAGUAUGAUCAGAUGGAGUAACGAAUAUCAGCAUAGUAUAUAUCAUACAAAUCAAUAAUCAAAUAUUAAUACAAAUUCGAGUCACACUUGUAUUUAUAUUUUACUUUAACAACACAUAAACAGGCUGCUCUAAUGUAAGUUGUCAGAACUUAAAUCACCCUGUAGUAUGUACUGUGUUUAUAUUUCAC
rnacentral:lncRNA from 1 species